rnacentral:rRNA from 1 species
AGAGUUUGAUCCUGGCUCAGGAUGAACGCUGGCGGCGUGCCUAAUACAUGCAAGUCGAACGGAGUAUAUAGCAAUAUGUACUUAGUGGCGAACGGGUGAGUAACGCGUUGGUGACCUGCCCCUUAGAGAGGGAUAACAGUCCGAAAGGGCUGCUAAUACCCCAUGACGUUUCGAGGAUUAGAAGCUUGAAACCAAAGGAGAAAUCCGCUAAGGGAGGGGCCUGCGUCCCAUCAGCUAGUUGGUAGGGUAAAGGCCUACCAAGGCAAUGACGGGUAGGGGACCUGAGAGGGUGGCCCCCCACAAUGGAACUGAAACACGGUCCAUACACCUACGGGUGGCAGCAGUAGGGAAUAUUGGUUAAUGGGCGAAAGCCUGAACCAGCAACGCCGCGUGCACGAUGACGGCCUUCGGGUUGUAAAGUGCUUUUUGGAGGGAAGAGGAAGGACGGUACCUCCAGAAUAAGUCUCGGCUAACUACGUGCCAGCAGCCGCGGUAACACGUAGGAGACAAGCGUUAUUCGGAUUUACUGGGCGUAAAGCGCGUGCAGGCGGUCUGACAAGUUGGAUGUGAAAGCUCCUGGCUUAACUGGGAGAGGUCGUUCAAAACUAUCAGACUAGAGAGUGGUAGAGGAAGGCGGAAUUCCGGGUGUAGUGGUGAAAUGCGUAGAUAUCCGGAGGAACACCAGUGGCGAAAGCGGCCUUCUGGACCAAUUCUGACGCUCAGACGCGAAAGCUAGGGUAGCGAACGGGAUUAGAGACCCCGGUAGUCCUAGCCGUAAACGAUGUAGACUUGGCGUUGGUGGGGUAAAAUCCAUCAGUGCCGAAGCAAACGCGAUAAGUCUACCGCCUGGGGACUACGGCCGCAAGGUUAAAACUCAAAGGAAUUGACGG